UACAGUAGCACGUCGAUUAUCCGGGCAGCUCGACCGGACCAAAGUGGUAGAAAGGAAGUGUCGUCAUACAGAAAUUUGGCCAUCAAGGCUUUAGAAAAAAAGCACAAAACCAGGAUCGACGGCAGUUGUCAAAUGCGACGAAUGUUGCUGGUAUACGGACACCUCCUCUGGUGAAGACACCUCCAUUCCACCUUGGUAACGUGUAUCUCGGAGACUACCUGUACGCUAGUUUUUAAAUGUGACAGUUUUUUUUUUGCAAUUUGUACUAGUUUGACACAAUGAAUGUUGAAUUAAAAUAAAUUCCCUUCGGUCAAAUUUUAAAAACCAUUUUGACAGGUAUGAAAUUGUUAUCUGCACUUGAAAUCAGAUUAAAUAAAUAAUUCAAUGACUAAAACUUACGACUUCAAGCAAAAUUAUAAGAAAAUUAGCAAUAAUUUUACUGAAAACCUAUAAAUUUGACGUACGCUAAUAUUCGCGAUACGCUAUUGCCUCCGGUCCGCAUUAAGAUUAUUGAAUACUUGUACCAGUAUAUCGGGGAAUACCUGUACAAUUAUCCAAAGUAACAAAGCAGAGGUUUUUUAAGUUUUUGGGAAUAACUAAGUUUUCCGGGCCAGCUAGUACUAUAUAAAUAAAUUAAGUAACAUAGUGUAGCAUAGUGUAACAUGUAACAAUAAUCAUUGCAGCAUUGCAUAAAGGAAGCAUAAAUGAAGAUGCAUAAAGUAACUAUAUUCACAGCAGCAUUGUUGUAAUUUCGAUGAAAGUAAUUACACAUGCCAUCAUUAAUACAGUUCCGUCCUUCUUCAAUAUAAUUUAAAAGGAUGGAAUCAGGAAAGUCCUGAAUCCUCAAAAUGUAUGUCAUAACAUUAAAAAUAAAAUUGUAGUAAGGUUGCAUUUCAUUUGAAUGUAUAUUAAAAUAAGUUGAAUUGUCAUUGUGGAAAUCAGCUCCAUAUAUUGUUUAAAUGUACUAUACAUCGAAUAAGAUUGUUUACGUAAGAAAGAGGAAAAUAAAAACAAUUAUGUUUGAAAAA